GAGAAAGGUUCUGCUGAUGGAGCUGCAGCACUCGCCAUGGGAAGGUUAGAGACUGGAAGUGCCGGCUCCUGCCAGCACACAGCGAUUUGCAAGUGAAUGCGAGGGAGGGAGCAUCCGAGCGGAGGGCUGCGCAUGAAAGGCGUCCCCUCCCCCGCAGGGCAGAAAGACUCUCUGUUUCCAGCCUAAGAGGAAUUCUACAUUGUCCUUGCUAUUCCGAAACUCAGGAUGUAGACGGAGCUGGCUUUGACCUCACAGAGUCUGGAGCACUGGGACAAAGGAGCAAAAAUAAGAUUUUCUGUAUAAGAUGAACUAUAAAUGCAAGUAUGGAUCCCAGGAGAGCAUUGUAGUCUUGCUUCAAGCAAGCUGAAA